AAACCCUAUCGGCCAUUGGGGGGGCGUGGCCAGUGCAGAGUGGGCGUGGCCUCUGUCUCCCAUUGACUGCAGCAGGAGGGCGUGGUCGAGCCAAGCCACGCCCACACAGACAGAAAAAGCCGUGCUUCCAUUGGUUCCCAUCACAGGGGAGGGGGGCGGGGCUUUGCGGUGUGGGCGUGGCUUCAGCUCCUCAUAGCUCAUAUGGGGGGCGUGGCCAUGACAGAGUGGGCAUGGCUUCGGCUUGGUGGGCGUGGUUGGGAAAGGCUGGGCGUGGCCUGGAAAUUGUGGGCGUGGCUUGGGCGAUGUGGGCGUGGCUUUCAUAGGGGUGAACAGGGCCAUGUCCGUGUGGGCGUGGCUUUAACACGAGUGGGCGUGGCCUGGGCUAUUGUGGGCGUGGCUUGGGGCCGCGUAGGCGUGGCUUUGAAGGGGACGGUUUGGCCAUGGCCGUAUGGGCGUGGCUUUCCCAGGGGUGGGCGUGGCUUGAGACCGCGUGGGCGUGGCUUUCACGCGACUGGGCGUGGCCUGGGCUUUUGUGGGCGUGGCUUUAACAGGGGCGGGCAUCGCCUCGGCCGUGUGGGCGUGGCCUGGUCGGGGUGGGCGUGGCCUUGGCCCCGUGGGCGUGGCUUUCACACGAGUGGGGGUGGCCUGGCAAUCGUGGGCGUGGCUUUCACACGAGUGGGUGUGGUUUGGGAAUCGUGGGCGUGGCUUGAGACCGUGUGGGCGUGGCCUGGUCGGGUUGGGCGUGGCCGUGGCCCCGUGGGCGUGGCCUGGGAAUCGUGGGCGUGGCUUGUGACCGCGUGGGCGGGGCCUGGGCGGGGUGGUGGGCGGGGCUCCGGGCAGCCCAACCAAUCGCGGAGCAGGGAUUUGGGGUAACCCGGGGUGACGCGAAGCUGGCGGUUGUCGAACUGCCAAUAGCGGGAGCCCUUCACAAAGUACGUGUAGGCUGAGGGUCAUUAGGGGUCAUUAGGGGUCAUUGGGGUCACGAGGGGUCAUUUGG
rnacentral:lncRNA from 1 species